AGCGAACGCUGGCGGCAGGCCUAACACAUGCAAGUCGAACGAACUUUUCUGGUUUAGUGUCUUUCGGGUGAGUCACACUUGUGACCCUUCCUUUAUGUCCCGAAUAACUCAGGCAAACUUGUGCUAAUACCGAUUGUGCCCUUCGGUGUACAGAUUUAUCGCCUUUAGAGCGGACCGCUUCUGAUUAGCUAGUUGGUUGAGGUAAUGGCUCACCAAUGCGACGAUCAGUAGCUGGUCUGAGAGGAUGAUCAGCCACAUUGGGACUGAGACACGGCCCAAACUCCUACGGGAGGCAGCAGUGGGGAAUCAUGAGCAAUGGGCGAAAGACUGACGCAGCCAGGCCGCGUGAAUGAUGAAGGUCUUAGGAAUGUAAAAUUCUUAGACCAGGGACGAAAAUGACGGUACCCGAAGAAGAAGGCCCGGCUAACUUCGUG
rnacentral:rRNA from 1 species